rnacentral:rRNA from 1 species
AGUCACUGACAUUAGAUACCCCGUAGUCCAGGGUGUAAACGCUGCAGACUUGGUGUUGGAGGCCCUUUGGGGGCAUUCAGUGCCGGAGAGAAGUUGUUAAGUCUGCUACUUGGGGAGUACGUCCGCAAGGAUGAAACUUAAAGGAAUUGGCGGGGGAGCACCGCAACGGGAGGAGCGUGCGGUUUAAUUGGAUUCAACACCGUAAACUCACCAGGGAAGACUGUUACAUGAAGGCCGAGAUGAAGACUCUGCUAGAUUUUCAG